AGCUUUUGGGGCAGCUGGCCACAGGAAACAGGCCCACAGACACCCAAGCUAUCCACAAGAGUGAGACUGAGACAGAUAAUGAAGGGGACAAGCAGGCUGCUGCAGUCUCCUCUACACACAAGAUUAUGCUGAGAGAUCACAGGAAAAAUAGAGGAGGUAAACAUGUAGGUGUGAAGAUAACUACAUGAAGAAGAGGGAGGCAAAUAGUACUGCAUGGGGAAAGAGGGAAGAAAAGAACAGCCGGUGAAGUUGACUCCUAAGGAACAGACUGUCUGUGAUGUGGGUGUAAGUGGAACUAAUGACAGGCACUUUAAGACAAGACCUUUUAGCUGGAGAUGAAACAGAGUUUCAGACAAAGAGCCGUGAAUGAAGUUCUGCUCUCAGGUCAGCAGUCCCUGGCCCAGGCAGUUUAAAGAGGAAGUGGUGAGAGACAUUUGGAUAAGCAACUGACUGGCUUGGGGGUGGGGGAAAUGGAUUAAAAUAGAACAUAGGGAAGA